GGUCAAGCGAUGAAGCGCAUACGGUGGAUGCCUAGGCAGUCAGAGGCGAUGAAAGACGUGGAAGCCUGCGAUAAGGUUCGGCGAGGUGGCAAACGACCUGCGACCCGGACAUCUCUGAAUGGGGAAACCCACCCAAGGUAACUUGGGUAUCUCAUGUUGAAUAUAUAGACAUGAGAGGCGAACCGGGGGAACUGAAACAUCUAAGUACCCCGAGGAAAAGAAAUCAACCGAGAUUCCCCUAGUAGCGGCGAGCGAACGGGGACCAGCCCUUAAGCAACACAACUGGUAGGUGAACAGACUGGGAAGUCUGGCCAUAGUGGGUGAUAGCCCCGUAACCGAAACCUGAGUGUUGUGAAAUCGAGUAGGUCGAGGCACGUGAAACCUUGACUGAAGACGGGGGGACCAUCCUCCAAGGCUAAAUACU
rnacentral:rRNA from 1 species